GAGGGGUAUAGUUCUUCGGAACUAGAGACCGGCGCACGGGUGCGUAACGCGUAUGCAAUCUACCUUUUGCAGAGGGAUAGCCCAGAGAAAUUUGGAUUAAUACCUCAUAGUAUGUGAGAAUGGCAUCAUUUUCACAUUAAAGUCACAACGGCAAAAGAUGAGCAUGCGUCCCAUUAGCUAGUUGGUAAGGUAACGGCUUACCAAGGCAACGAUGGGUAGGGGUCCUGAGAGGGAGAUCCCCCACACUGGUACUGAGACACGGACCAGACUCCUACGGGAGGCAGCAGUGAGGAAUAUUGGACAAUGGGCGCAAGCCUGAUCCAGCCAUGCCGCGUGCAGGAUGACGGUUCUAUGGAUUGUAAACUGCUUUUGUACAGGAAGAAACACUGGUUCGUGAACCAGCUUGACGGUACUGUAAGAAUAAGGAUCGGCUAACUCCGUGCCAGCAGCCGCGGUAAUACGGAGGAUCCAAGCGUUAUCCGGAAUCAUUGGGUUUAAAGGGUCCGUAGGCGGUUUAGUAAGUCAGUGGUGAAAGCCCAUCGCUCAACGGUGGAACGGCCAUUGAUACUGCUAGACUUGAAUUAUUAGGAAGUAACUAGAAUAUGUAGUGUAGCGGUGAAAUGCUUAGAGAUUACAUGGAAUACCAAUUGCGAAGGCAGGUUACUACUAAUGGAUUGACGCUGAUGGACGAAAGCGUGGGUAGCGAACAGGAUUAGAUACCCUGGUAGUCCACGCCGUAAACGAUGGAUACUAGCUGUUGGGGGCAACUUCAGUGGCUAAGCGAAAGUGAUAAGUAUCCCACCUGGGGAGUACGUUCGCAAGAAUG
rnacentral:rRNA from 1 species